UGGGGAAUAUUGCACAAUGGGCGCAAGCCUGAUGCAGCCAUGCCGCGUGUAUGAAGAAGGCCUUCGGGUUGUAAAGUACUUUCAGCGGGGAGGAAGGCGAUAAGGUUAAUAACCUUGUCGAUUGACGUUACCCGCAGAAGAAGCACCGGCUAACUCCGUGCCAGCAGCCGCGGUAAUACGGAGGGUGCAAGCGUUAAUCGGAAUUACUGGGCGUAAAGCGCACGCAGGCGGUCUGUCAAGUCGGAUGUGAAAUCCCCGGGCUCAACCUGGGAACUGCAUUCGAAACUGGCAGGCUAGAGUCUUGUAGAGGGGGGUAGAAUUCCAGGUGUAGCGGUGAAAUGCGUAGAGAUCUGGAGGAAUACCGGUGGCGAAGGCGGCCCCCUGGACAAAGACUGACGCUCAGGCGCGAAAGCGUGGGGAGCAAACA
rnacentral:rRNA from 1 species